CCUACGGGAGGCAGCAGUGGGGAAUAUUGGACAAUGGGGGCAACCCUGAUCCAGCCAUGCCGCGUGUGUGAAGAAGGCCCUCGGGUUGUAAAGCACUUUCAGUGAGGAAGAACGCCUGGUGGUUAAUACCCAUCAGGAAAGACAUCACUCACAGAAGAAGCACCGGCUAACUCCGUGCCAGCAGCCGCGGUAAUACGGAGGGUGCGAGCGUUAAUCGGAAUUACUGGGCGUAAAGCGCGCGUAGGUGGCUUGAUAAGCCGGUUGUGAAAGCCCCGGGCUCAACCUGGGAACGGCAUCCGGAACUGUCAAGCUAGAGUGCAGGAGAGGAAGGUAGAAUUCCCGGUGUAGCGGUGAAAUGCGUAGAGAUCCGGAGGAAUACCAGUGGCGAAGGCGGCCUUCUGGACUGACACUGACACUGAGGUGCGAAAGCGUGGGUAGCAAACAGGAUUAGAUACCCUGGUAGUC
rnacentral:rRNA from 1 species